rnacentral:tRNA from 1 species
CGGGAAGUAGCACAGCUUGGUAGUGCGCUCGCUUCGGGAGCGAGAGGUCGUGGGUUCGAAUCCCAUCUUUCCGACCA